GAAGGGGACAAUCAGAUAUUUUUCAGUGGUUUGAGGUAAUAGAUUUUUGUAAUAUCUUGAUUCUGUCUUUAGUGAAAAUCAAGGAAGUUGCCAAGUCAAAUCUGUUUUAAGUAUGUUGUAUUUAAACAUUAAUCUGAGUUCUGUGUUCUUCCAGGUUGCAGAAGUGGAGAAAUGAACCCUGAUGGAAAUAUUCAUGGGCACCUACAGCCCCCCCAUACACAACCAGCAGCUAUCACCCUGUAGCCCAAGAUUGGUUGCCCACUAAAGAUAAGCAGGGUUGAGCCUGGUCAGUAGUACCUGGAUGGGAGACCUCCUGGGAAAACUAGGUUGCUGCUGGAAAGAGGUGUUAGUGAGGCCAGCAGGGGGUGCUCACCCUGUGGUCUGUGUGGGUCCUAACGCCCCAGUAUAGUGAUGGGGACAUUAUACUGUCAAAAAAAGCACCGUCCUUCGGAUGAGACGUUAAACCGAGGUCCUGACUCUCUGUGGUCAUUAAAAAUCCCAUGAUGUCCUUCGAAAAGAGUAGGGGUAUAACCCCGGCAUCCUGGCCAAAUUUGCCCAUUGGCCUCUAUCCAUCAUCAUGGCCUACUAAUCAUCCCCAUAUUAAUACUGAUUGGCUAUAUUUAAUCCCAGAACUAUUUCAGAAUAUAUACACAAACACCAAUGAGCCAAAACAUUAUGACCACCUGCUUAAUAUGCUGUUGUUCUUCCGUGUGCUGCCAAAAAAGCUCCGACCCUCUGAAGCAUGGGCUCUACAAGACCCCUGAAGCUGUCCUGUAAUAUCUGACAGUAGAUCCUUCAAGUCCUAUAGGUUGCAAGGUGGCUGUUAGUCCAGCAUAUCCCACAGAUGCUCAAUUGGAUUGAGAUCUGGGAAAUUUGGAGGUCAGGUCUGCAACAGUGUUUAGGUAGGUGGCACGUGUCAAAUUGAUGUCCACAUGAAUGGCUGGACCCAGGGUUUCCCAGCAGAACAUUGCCCAGAUCAUCUCACUCCCUCCACCGGGUAGGAGAUGAUCAACAAUAUUCACUUCACCUAUGACUGGUCAUAAUUUUUUGGCUUUUCAGUGUGUAUAUUAUGGGACAUUAUGCAAUGACAUUACAGUCCUCUUUUUAUUUAAUAUAUUUUAUAAAAAAUAAAAUAAAAACAUUUUUAUAAAAAAGAUGCAUGAAAUGAAAUGAUAUUCUCUACAACAAUAGUAUAAUUUAUAACUACUGAAAGAAAAGGGUUUUGCUGGAUCUUUAAAUGUACACUCUCCCAGAAAAAACAAAUGAGAGCAGUAAUAAAGAUGACAUCCACAUGAGUCAGUGGGAGAUGAAGGGUCUGACAUUUAAGAGUGUCCACAAUAUAGAAAAGGAUAAAUCUUUUUAAAAUGUAGUUAAAAACACACAUACUAAUUUCAUAGAAACAAUUUAUUUUUGAAUUCAUGAAAUGUUUUGUACAAUUCAUUUGUAAAUAUCGGUAGUUGAGGAGUCAUCAUAUGACAUUUUAAAACAUUAAUUAACCUUAUCCUGACCAUAACCUUACCUUAUCUGAUAUUUUAAGAGACUUAUUGACCUUUCCUUGUGUGAUGUACAGUUCUGGUAAGUAUAAAGACUCGCUUGUUAAUAAAUGGAUCAAGGAAAAUAAUGCAAUAAAUGUCACAGUACAGGCUGUUCUUUCACAAACUACUUCUACCCCCUUUUUUUAGGGAUCAACAUAAAGAACUAAAGCACCUUUUCCUGUAUGAGUCAGUACGAGAAUGAUGGGCUAACAGCAACAACCUAACUUUUCUUCUGAACCGACAACAAGUGGCACUGGAAAAGCAUCGACCAAAAGAAAGGCAGUCUUAGAAAAGAGCUAAAACCCCAAAUCAAUAUCUGCUUUGCUUUUCCACACUGGAGAAAACUGCGGGAGUCAAAGGGUCUGAAAGAUGAUGCUAUGGUUGCAGCAUUUCUUUUGGACAGAGCCCUUUGAAGCUGCAGUGAAACUGCAAUUUGGACCGUCAAACCCAAUGAACCAUGUUGAAGUCCACUAUAUGGAAGGAUGAGUUGUACCCCUGCUACAGUAAAUCCAAUUUGAAGGUCAGUUGUCCUGUAAUGUCUGGAGAAAGCAGGCUAUAAGGCUCUUAGUAUGAUCAUAUUAAUGUUCCUGUUCCUCCAGCCUCACCCUGUUCCUCUCAUUUGUUAACAAUUGCGUUAACUAACAAUUAGCGAUAUAUUUUUAUAAAUAGCACUUAUUGUUAAUGUUUGUUAAAAAUAAUCAUCUUCAUGUUUGUUCACAGUGCAUUAACUAGUGUUAACAGAUACAACUUUUGAUGUUAAAAAUGUAUUAGUAAAUGUUAAGAUUUAGUUUUCAGCUGUCAUUUUAAGAAAGUCAAUUUGAGAUUUGAAAUCAGAAAUGCAGAAUGCAAAAUAUCAAACAUCUUAUACAAAUAAACUGAUAGGACACAAUUGCAACAGUACAAACAUGUGAAUUUGUUAGUGUCCAACACAUUAAGCUUCAAUGAAACACAAUUUUUAUGUCCUAGUUUGCUGUUGAAGUCAGCAAUGCCAC